rnacentral:rRNA from 1 species
CCUACGGGUGGCAGCAGUAGGGAAUUUUGCGCAAUGGGGGAAACCCUGACGCAGCAACGCCGCGUGAUCGAUGAAGCCCUUCGUAGUGUAAAGAUCUGUCAGUGGGGACGAAACCUGACGGUACCGACAGCGGAAGCACCAGCUAACUCCGUCCCAGCACCCGCGGUAAUACGGGGGGUGAAAGCGUUAUCCGUAAUCAUUGGGGGUAAACGGUUCGGAGGUGGCACGGUAAGUCUGGUGGUAAAGGCGGAAGGUUAACUUCAGUAGGGCACUGGAUACUGGCGAGCUUGAAUGCGGUAGAGGUAAAGGGAAUUCCUGGUGUAGCGGUGAAAUGCGUAGAUAUCAGGAGGAACACCGGUGGCGUAAGCGCUUUACUGGGUCGUAAGUGACACUGAGGAACGAAAGCCGGGGUAGCAAAUGGGAUUAGAUACCCGAGUAGUC